AGUGAACGCUGGCGGUAGGCCUAACACAUGCAAGUCGAACGGCAGCACAGGAGAGCUUGCCCUCUGGGUGGCGAGUGGCGGACGGGUGAGGAAUACAUCGGAAUCUACCUUGUCGUGGGGGAUAACGUAGGGAAACUUACGCUAAUACCGCAUACGACCUUCGGGUGAAAGUGGGGGACCGCAAGGCCUCACGCGAUUAGAUGAGCCGAUGUCGGAUUAGCUAGUUGGCGGGGUAAAAGCCCACCAAGGCGACGAUCCGUAGCUGGUCUGAGAGGAUGAUCAGCCACACUGGAACUGAGACACGGUCCAGACUCCUACGGGAGGCAGCAGUGGGGAAUAUUGGACAAUGGGCGCAAGCCUGAUCCAGCCAUACCGCGUGGGUGAAGAAGGCCUUCGGGUUGUAAAGCCCUUUUGUUGGGAAAGAAAUCUUGCCGGUUAAUACCUGGCGAGGAUGACGGUACCCAAAGAAUAAGCACCGGCUAACUUCGUGCCAGCCGCCGCAGUAAGAC
rnacentral:rRNA from 1 species